AUGACUUCCUGGAUUGUGUUGCUGGAGAUAGCUCUCUGUGGACUCCUGCAUCAAUGUUUCCCUGGCAUGGGGGCAGAGCAGUUUCAGUGGUAUGUUUCUAGCUGCUGUCCCAGCCUAAAGGAUUUAAUUAUGUGUGAAGAGUUGAAACUGGAUUGUUUCUUGUUUCUUGAAUGUUGUAUGUUCCAUGCUUUGAGCCUUAGCCUACCUGAUCAUCUCAAAUGCUGUUCUUUUUAUAAAAUAUUUGUCCUAUAAGUGAUCCUUAGUUGA
rnacentral:lncRNA from 1 species